UACAGAGGUCUCAAGCGUUUGUUCGGAUUCAUUGGGCGUAAAGGGUGCGUAGGUGGCGGGGCAAGUUGGAUGUGAAAUCCCGGAGCUUAACUCCGGAACUGCAUUCAAUACUGCCUUGCUAGAGUACUGGAGAGGAGAUUGGAAUUUACGGUGUAGCAGUGAAAUGCGUAGAUAUCGUAAGGAAGACCAGUGGCGAAGGCGGAUCUCGUGGAC
rnacentral:rRNA from 1 species